rnacentral:rRNA from 1 species
GACGAACGCUGGCGGUAUGCUUAACACAUGCAAGUCGAACGAGAAGCUUUUUAAUGAUCCUUCGGGUGAACUAAGAAGUGGAAAGUGGCGAACGGGUGAGUAACGCGUGGGUAACCUGCCUCAUGGAAAGGAAUAGCCUCGGGAAACUGGGAGUAAAGCCUUAUAUUAUUGAGUUGUCGCAUGGCAAUUCGAUGAAAACUCCGGUGCCAUGAGAUGGACCCGCGUCCCAUUAGCUAGUUGGUGAGAUAACAGCCCACCAAGGCAACGAUGGGUAACCGGUCUGAGAGGGCGAACGGUCACACUGGAACUGAGACACGGUCCAGACUCCUACGAGAGGCAGCAGUGGGGAAUAUUGCGCAAUGGGGGAAACCCUGACGCAGCAAUACCGCGUGAGUGAAGAAGGUUUUCGGAUCGUAAAACUCUUUUAUUGGGGAAGAAGAAGUGACGGUACCCAAUGAAGAAGUCCCGGCUAACUACGUGCCAGCCGCCGCUGUAAGAC